rnacentral:lncRNA from 1 species
UGUUCAUCUCUUUACAUCAUGAUGGGGACUUGAUGGUGUUGACAAUACUAUGUAUAUGUUUUGCAGAAAGAGCGACACUCGAUUGGACUUCUAGAUAUUGAUUAGUUUGUUGGGUGACCAGCAUCCUCAUGAUGGAGUUUAUUGCAAACCUUCGGUGUAAGCUGUAAGUUUGCAUAACAAGGUCAUGUUUUGUGUGUUGGUUGGACGCCCUCGUACAUUGUUGUCCAAAGGAGCUUCGUGUUAA